rnacentral:rRNA from 1 species
AUGCCCUGUCCUACCAGAAACGGACGCACGAACGAGGCAAGGCUACCCCACGAUCUACUCGCACGCACGAGGCAGAGGAACGUUUUUCUAAAAAAUGAGGGAGAGGAAUGCAGUGCUGUUGCUGAAAAAAAGGAGACGCAGCGCUCGUGCGGCCGCCGCCGAGUCGCACACACACAGGAUCAAAUCUCCAGACUCCAGCACUCGCGCCGCCGGCGAUGCCUCCGCCCCCCAACCCCCUCCCCACUUUCCCCCUGCUCUCUGGCUCCCGGCCGCCGCCCUUCUGUCCUGUGCGUCGUUCGCCCGGGCGCGCCAUCCCUGCUGGUUGCUUCACUGCCAGCUGCAACACCUUAA